rnacentral:rRNA from 1 species
AACGAACGCUGGCGGCAUGCCUAACACAUGCAAGUCGAACGAAGUCUUCGGACUUAGUGGCGCACGGGUGCGUAACGCGUGGGAAUCUGCCCUUGGGUGCGGAAUAACUUCUCGAAAGGGAUGCUAAUACCGCAUAAUGUCGUAAGACCAAAGAUUUAUCGCCCAAGGAUGAGCCCGCGUAAGAUUAGCUAGUUGGUGGGGUAAAAGCCUACCAAGGCGACGAUCUUUAGCUGGUCUGAGAGGAUGAUCAGCCACACUGGGACUGAGACACGGCCCAGACUCCUACGGGAGGCAGCAGUGGGGAAUAUUGGACAAUGGGCGAAAGCCUGAUCCAGCAAUGCCGCGUGAGUGAUGAAGGCCCUAGGGUUGUAAAGGCUCUUUUACCAGGGAUGAUAAUGACAGUACCUGGAGAAUAAGACUCCGGCUAACUCCGUGCCAGCAGCCGCGGUAAU